AAACAUGUUAAACAAAGUUAAUUCAAGGCUGUUUUGGUAAUACUUGGUAUGUAGGAAAUAGGAUCUGCAGAUGUACAGAAGGAAUGCAUCGAGGGUGUGUCACACUUUACUAUAGGUAUGAUGGGUACAGACCUGUAGAAAUUCCAGAUACAAAGGCGGAGUAAGCGUCCUGUCGACCGGUCACACCUGCCGUGAACCUAUGUAUUGAUAAGUACAUGAUAUGUCUUAUCGAUAGCUGGAUUGGAAAGCCAUCGACGGAUAACAGUAUAAGCACCUCGUCGACAACCUAUUAAACAGAGACAGGAUACUGCGAAGUACUAGGCUGUGCAAAGUGUAAUAAGAUCAAAAACAUCUCGUUCCGUGACAUAACUUCAAAUACACAUCAGAUUUAAAACAAAACAGUUAUAUGCCUUCUUAAGAAUUAAAGCGACAAGUUUGAGGACGCAAUUGUGAAAAUGUCAGGUUCAAAGUUAACUCAUUUUAUAAGUGAGUCAACACAAGCUAUAAGAAGUGCCAUACAGAAUAUAUAUUGGAAAGGGGGGGGGGGGGGAGGCACUUACGGAUACACAUGGUACAGUAUAUAGUCGGUAGCAUUUGAGAAAUACACACACAAGUCAUAAUUUGAGCAACAACAAAGAUACGAACCAUUCAUACAUGCGAAAGUAUAUAUAUUUAUGUGCAUAACAUGGAUAAUCAUUUAUAUUGCCCUAUUUGGGAUCGCUUAAAGAUUCGAUUCUUUUAAUUGAAACAAUAAGCACACUGCUUGUUGCUUCUAGUUAGUCUUUCCUUAGUUUAUUUGAUUAUGUCAAAAUGUUUUAAGCUAGAUGACGGGGUUAGGUUUAUGGUUACAACAAAAAUUAAAUCUUGUCUGCUUGAAAAAAUGCUUGAUCGAUUCAUUGUGUAGAUUACGUCUUCUUUGUGUAUUGAUUUUUUUUAUUGAUUAAAAGGAAGUUAUUUUU